rnacentral:rRNA from 1 species
UACGUAGGUGACCAGCGUUGUCCGGAUUUACUGGGCGUAAAGAGCGCGCAGGCGGUCGUUCAAGUCGAGUGUGAAAGCCCCCGGCUCAACUGGGGAGGGUCACUCGAUACUGAUCGACUUGAAGGCAGGAGAGGGAAGCGGAAUUCCCGGUGUAGUGGUGAAAUGCGUAGAUAUCGGGAGGAACACCAGUGGCGAAGGCGGCUUCCUGGCCUGUUCUUGACGCUGAGGCGCGGAAAGCUAGGGGAGCAAACGGG